UACGAAGGGGGCUAGCGUUGUUCGGAAUUACUGGGCGUAAAGCGCGCGCAGGCGGUUCUCCAAGUCAGUGGUGAAAGCCCGGAGCUCAACUCCGGAACUGCCAUUGAAACUGUUGAACUUGAGGACGAGAGAGGUGAGUGGAAUUCCCAGUGUAGAGGUGAAAUUCGUAGAUAUUGGGAAGAACACCAGUGGCGAAGGCGACAUACUGGUCCGUUACUGACACUGAGGCUCGAAAGCGUGGGGAGCAAACAGG
rnacentral:rRNA from 1 species